CCUGGUUGAUCCUGCCAGUAGCAUAUGCGUGUCUCAAAGAUUAAGCCAUGCGCGUGUAAGUACAAACGACCGGUACAGUGAAACUGCAAAUGGCUCAUUAAAUUAGUUAUGGUUCCUUUGAUUGCUCCAUCUGUUACUUGGAUAACUGUGGUAAUUCUAGAGAUACUACAUGCUGACAAGCGCGGACCUCCCAGGAUGUGUGCAUUUAUCAGACCAAGACCAAUCCGGGCUCACCCGACCGCUUUUGUGACUCUAGAUAACCUCAGGCCGAUUGCACGUCCCCAUGACGGAGACGAUGCAUUCGGAUGUCUGCCCUAUCAACUUCCGGUGGUACUUUCUGUGCCUACCAUGGUGACAACAGGUAAUGGGGAAUCGGGGUUCGAUUCCAGAGAGGGUGCUUGAGAAACGGCUACCACAUCGAAGAAGGCAGCAGGAGCCCAAAUUACCCACUCCCGACUCCAGGAGGUAGUGAUGAAAAAUAACAAUACAGGACUCUUUCGAGGCACUGUAAUUGCAAUGAGUACACUUUAAAUCCUUUAACGAGUACCCAUUGGAGGGCAAGUCUGGUGCCAGCAGCUGCAGUAAUUCCAGCUCCAAUAGCAUAUAUUAAAGUUGCUGCAGUUAAAAAGCUUGUAGUUGGAGCUUGGGUUCGAGCUGACAGUCCGCCGCGAGGCGAGUUACCACCACCUGUCCCAGCCCUUGCCUAUUGGCGCCUCCUUGAUGCUCUUGACUGAGUGUCCGGGGGUCUUAAGCAUUUACUUUGAAAAAAGUAGUUUUCAAAGCAGGCCGGUCGCCUGAAUACUUCAGCUAGGAAUAAUGGAAUAGGACUCUGCUUUUGUUUUGUUGUUUUUCGGAACUGGGGCCAUUAUUAAGCGGGACGGCCGGGGGCAUUCGUAUUGUGCUGCUAGAGGUGAAAUUCUUGUACUGACGCAAGACGAACCAAAAUGAAAGCAUUAGCCAAUAAUGUUUUCAUUAAUCAAGAACGAAAGUCUGAGGUUUGAAGCUGAUCUGAUAACGCUGUAGUUCCGACCAUAAACUAUGCCGAUUAGCGAUCUGACGGCGUUAUUUCCAUGACCUGCCGAGCAGCUUCCGGGAAACUAAAGUCUUUCGGUUCCAGGGAGUAUGGUGCAAAGCUGAAACUUAAGGAAUUGAUGGAAGGGCACCGCCAGGAGUGGAGCCUGCGUCUUAAUUUGACUCAACACGGAAAACCUCACCCGUCCCGGACACAGAAAAGAUUGACAGAUUGAUAGCUCUUUAUCAGUUCUGUGGGUGGUGGUGCAUGGCCGUUCUUAGUUGGUGGAACAACUUUGCCUUUCUGGUUAAAUCCGAUAACGAAUGAGACUCCUCCAUGCUAACACAUUAUUUCCCAUGAACAAGGAAUUACCAUUAAGUGCGGGUCAUAAGCUUGCAUUGAUUAAGUCCCUGCCCUUUGUGCACACCGCCCGUCGCUACUACCGAUUGGAUGGUUUAGUGAGGUCCUCGGAUCGGCCCCAAACUUGACUAUCUAGAGGAAGUAAUAGUCAUACGGGUUGGGUUAACCUGCUGGAAACAUCACGC
rnacentral:rRNA from 1 species